GUGGUCCUGUCGUAGUGGUAACAAGUUAUGCAUGUAUUAUUUCGCAUCGAAUUUCAGGCGAAUUGAGACGGAUUCGUUUUAUCUUAAUUGUAUAGACUAGAUGGAGAAAUUUUAGUUAUUUUCAUCAUUUUAAAGAUGGAUAUGCAUACUUGUAUGUAUCGUACAUGAUAAGAGAAUAUUGGACGACGAAAAAGAGAUAAAAAGUAAAUGUGUAAGAGAUCUUAUAUACCAGAUGUGUUGAAAAUUGUGUAUGAUGAGAGAAAAAAAGACGAAGCACAUGGCCAACCUUUGUGGUCCCUAAUUAGUGGAUUGAUGAUGGUUCAUAAAUUUGACCGGAUCGUUGUUCAAUAUAUAUAGCCUCAAUCAUGUAUUUAAUUACUCAAUUAACCCUUAAUUAUGGCAACACAAAGAUCAAGAAACUCAUGUUAUGUCUUUAUUAGCUACUACAUGUUUUUGCAAGCAACUCAUGUGGCUCAAACAGGCCUAGUUUCAUUGUAAUUGAACCAUUAUCGAGUCAUUGUACCUUUCUUAACUAUUAUGUUGUCGACAUUCAGUUCCAUUUAGGAUUUUUUUUGACCAAUUACGUUGCUGGCCGGUAUACAAACUCGAAACCUCUUUGGCCAAUUUUCCGUCUCCACCAUCUCGUGACCAGCUGUUGAUUGCCUUCCGCAUGAAGAGGAGCCAAUGAUGCCUCUUGGUCCAAAAGUGGGAACAACAAUGCAAACAUGAUACAGCCUGGAAACUAAAAAUCACUUGGAACAAUGGGGACUUGACUGACUGAGGACUGACUGACUGACUGACUUAGCUUACAAAGGAUGAAGAUCAGAAGGCAAAAAGCAGCAAAACGUGCGACACUCAUUUCCAGAUUCGAGGUGCCUUUCACAUGGCUGUGUGUGGGAAACAAAAGAUGAAGAAGACGAGAGAUUAAUUAGUUUAGUUUAAUCAUCAUUUUAUUAACAACUAAUUAAUAAUUUAACCUUAGGAAUCUUAUUGCAAAAAAAAGUUGAGACUUUUGGAUUGGAAGGAGAGGGUGGAGGGUGGGGUUGUGUGCAGAUAGAUAGGAUUGUUUAAUGGUGGGGAGAGAUGGGGUUAGCUAGCUAUGGAUUAGAUUAAUGUGUAUAGUUUAGUUAACUCAUCACCUGGUUUAAGUUGAGUUGGCAAACGGAUGAGUUGGGUGGACGAGAAUUAGACAUAAUCACGCAUUAAAAGAAUGUCAACACAACUUUUCUUUUCUUUUUGAGAAGAGUAUUAUGUUGUGAUAAUACAUAUUUAUUUGUAAGUAUUUAAUCCAUCAGACUUUAUAACACAACAUUCAUGGGUGCUCAAGAUUUGGUUACUUGGUGAUAUGAACCGAAUGACCUCAUUACUUGGGUUUUUGGUGUUCAUUAUGUUAUGAAUUGAUAGAGUUAUGUUCAAUAUAAUCAAAUAACAGUUAAAUUAAUUUAUGGGUUUUUAUUUUUAAUUUCUAGACUCGACUAUUUCAUGCAAAUGAAAACCCUAGCAAAAUAAAGAGCACCUUAAAUGGUUCAAACACCGCUUGUUUGUCGCAAGUGUUCCAAUGGGUGCUUCUGAUUGGUUCAUAGAUGAAAGAAUAAAUCGAAUUUGGUUAACUCGGACUGAUCUUGAUUGGUUCUAGGUUUGAUUAAACUUGUAAAUUAAAGUUGAAAAAAAAUUAGGGGAUGCAUGAUUGAAGUUGUGAUUAGGUCACCACAGGGUGGUGAGUUGCAUAGCCGCUUUCAUUAUCAUCAUCCAUCAUCAACCGAUCACUCUUAAUUAAUCAAUUAAAUAAAAGGUUAAUCAAUUAAUUUUUUAAUUAGUUGUCAUAAUCUUUUUAAAUUACCUUCUUCUUCCUCAAGUGAACAGAUCGCAGAUGAUAAGUGGAGUUCGCAACUUGCUUCAUAUGACAUUGUCGUUUUCUUGGGAUAGAUCGAUUGGAUCUUGUUUGAUUAAUUGUUACUUACUAUUUCAUUUUGUAGCUAAUGAUAGUGUUAUACAUGUAAUUGAAUAGUUAUAUCGAUUUGAGUGUGCAUGCAACAAAUACGAGCGGGAUAGGAUAGAUCGGAACGUAGCAAUGACAAGUCCUAAUUUGAAUCGUACGAAAAAACGUAAAAUACAUUAAAAGAUAAGAAUUUUAGUAAUUUCAUUUCGAAUAAUUCCUUCUAUAUGGAGUUUCAAAAUAACUGAUAACUUUCGCGAAACACGUAAAAACACUCAUUAGAAAAAAAUAAAAGAACAACAACAAGAGGUAACAAGGGAGGAAGAGAGGAUUUCGGUCUUCAAUGAUAGAAAGGCUCUAGUCGAAACCUCAUUGAUUAGAGAAUCCCACAUCGAGGAUUUGUAUACUAGAGAAAUUUAUGAGGUAUAAUGAACAAUUCGACCUAAAGUGACGAUAAGAUGUGUUUUGGGUGUAAUGAAUGAGUUUUUGUAACAACUUCAAAAUUAUUGAUAAGAAAAACAACUUCAAAGUUCAACGUGUUCAGAUUGGAGCAGUGUAAAGAUGUGUGACCUCUGAGGAAGUCAUUAUCAUGUAAUACCAAAACAAAUCAGUGAAGGUCGAGGUUCAAACCAAAUAAUAUUUUCCGGAUGAAAGAUCAGAAUGCUUACACGUGAAAUUAGAGCUUUUUUUACAUAAGUACUUUUAAACGAUGGCGAGAUAAAUCUGAACGAAAAUUUUGUUUGUUUGCUUUGCUCUUAAUAAGAUUUUAUUGUGAACUACUUAAACUAUAUACCAACUUUCAAACUGCAGAGCAUCGUUAUACGACAACUAUUUUAGUUGACCGCCGAUGAACAACAAAUAUGGCCCUUCAAUCAAUGUAUUUGUUUAUUAUUUCGCCAUGAAAAUUAUGUGUAGCCGGCGAGAUCCAGCCCACUAUAAGACAACUACCGUUGGAGCUAGCAGGAUUUAAGGGGGGAGUGGGGUGGGAAUUUGUUUAAUAGCGGAAUCAGGAUGGUCAAUUAGUUCAAUAGCGGAAUUAGAAUGGUCAAUUAGGGAAUUGGAAUUUUAUAUGUGUAUCGAGUUAUUACUUUUUUAAUGACCAUGGGUCAGAAUGGUAUAAGAUUUAUAAUUAAUUCUUUUCUAACAACUCAAAUUUUGAUGUAACGGUUCAAAAAUUGGUAUCAGAGUCUUUAGACCAAAUGGUCAAGUGUUCGAAUCUCCAGGAUUCUCCAUAUUAACGGUUGAUUUAAAAAGUACAAGGUACGAUGGGCAUGUGAAAAUUUCAACCCGUAAAUUGGCUUUCGUUUGAGGCGGCGAGUAAAUUGUAUAAAAUCCAAUUGUUGGGAUGUAACUCUUCAUGACAAUCAUAUUAUUAGGGUUUCUUCAUCAUCUUGCUAUUUCGAACUUUGUGUUUUGUAACGAAUGGUAUAGAAUGGAGCUUAUAUCGUGUCAUCGGGUAAAAUAUUCGUUCACUAUGGUCUACCAUAUUAUUGUUUAAGGACUAUCAAGAUUAAAAACUCGUGACGAAAGCUAUAAUUGUCGAGUCGAUUUACAAGUGUACCUUAGAUUCGUGGGAAUAAAUGAUCAUAGUUCUAUCUUGCAAUCCAUGACGUCUAUUAAUUGUGGAAAUUACUACUGAAAUUAAUGGUGGACAUUUUUUUAAAAAAAAUAAAAAUUAUUGCAAACAAGAUUAAAUGAUUAUAUUCGAGCANNNNNNNNNNNNNNNNNNNNNNNNNNNNNNNNNNNNNNNNNNNNNNNNNNNNNNNNNNNNNNNNNNNNNNNNNNNNNNNAUUAAUAAUAUUAGACAUUAAUUCACCUUUUUACCCCAAAAAAGUUAAUAAGAAUUACCAUUGCUAGAUUAGUUAGUUUCCAAGAUGGAUAAAUAAUUAAGAAAUGUCAAGAUAAAUGCUUACAAAAAUGUCGAUCGUCACAUGUGCCCCACGUGUCCUCUCAAUUGUUUGUCUUUGUAUACAUUAAAUUAAAAAACAUAUGGGGGGGGAAAUAAUUUUAGAAAAAUGGUUAUCAUUGCCCUAAUUAUUUUGUAAUUUAUUGANNNNNNNNNNNNNNNNNNNNNNNNNNNNNNNNNNNNNNNNNNNNNNNNNNNNNNNNNNNNNNNNNNNNNNNNNNNNNNNNNNNNNNNNNNNNNNNNNNNNNNNNNNNNNNNNNNNNNNNNNNNNNNNNNNNNNNNNNNNNNNNNNNNNNNNNNNNNNNNNNNNNNNNNNNNNNNNNNNNNNNNNNNNNNNNNNNNNNNNNNNNNNNNNNNNNNNNNNNNNNNNNNNNNNNNNNNNNNNNNNNNNNNNNNNNNNNNNNNNNNNNNNNNNNNNNNNNNNNNNNNNNNNNNNNNNNNNNNNNNNNNNNNNNNNNNNNNNNNNNNNNNNNNNNNNNNNNNNNNNNNNNNNNNNNNNNNNNNNNNNNNNNNNNNNNNNNNNNNNNNNNNNNNNNNNNNNNNNNNNNNNNNNNAUUAUUGAAGACCCUUUUCAACAAUGUUAUGAAAAUUAAGUUAUAAUUUUAUAUCCAAUAUUGACACUUUUUCACUUGUAUACAUUGAAAAAAAGUAAUUAUAGUUUGCAAAUUAAACUACCCAAGCUUAGGUCUUUGACUUCAUUAAUCAAAUAUUAGCUUGUUACAAUGAGUGAAGUCAAAUUGGAAGAAUGUUAAGAAAUGGAAGGGUUCUUGUUACCUUGGGGUGGAAGGUCGGUCAGUUGGGUAAAAAACAUCGAGUCCGGCUUUUAAAAGUAUACCUUAUAUGAAUUAAUAUUGAAGACUUAUUAAGCACACCUUGUCUUUGUUAUUAAUUUACUUGACAUACCUUAUCCAAUUACAAGUGGAUGAUUGAUUCAUAUUUCACUUCUUUUUCUUUGAUUUUAUAAGAUCAAAUUCUAGAAAUCUAAGUCUAAUGUAGAAACCAUCUAAGCUCAACGCAUGUUGAUGGCUCUAUUGUCGCAGAGAUUUGUCAUCUUCUUUCGUCCAUGCCAGAAGUCCGAUUUUAAAUUUUUUUACGUUCAGAUAAUAGAGCUGUCCAUUGUGUGGUGUGCGGGGCUCUUAAAUAUCGCCCGGGAGUGUUGUCGGUAGUUUUCACUCUUUGGAUUGAUUCGUAGUUGGUGUGUGUUUGUUAUCUAUUUGCCUCCGCAAGGAGCUAUCUCAAGAGAAAAUAAAAUAUAUCGAAACCAUAUGAGUAGUUAGUAAUUGAUGCAUAAAAAAAUCGGUCGGUUCAUACCAAUUGUACUACUUACUUGCCGUUUUAGAUAAAUAGAUUUAGACCACCUAUUAUAAAUAUUUCAUAUUUAACCGUAUGAGAUAUUCGUGUCAUCAUGGAUAUUCCUAUAAGUUAUAAUUCUCUGAUCAUAAUAAAACUUUCGUUAUAAACGACAUGCACCAAUAAUUUUUUCGAAAAAUAUUUUCCACGCAAAAUCAUUUGUCUCGUUUAUCCCAAGCUACAAUCGACAACAAUGAAACUUAGAAACAUUAACAAAUUGAAACCCUCUUUAUAAUAUAGUAUUAAUUCAACUAAGAAUGGAUAUAUUACAUUUCAUCCAAACUAAUUAUUAGUUAAUUAUCUUCAUGACGAAAAUGAUUUGUUUAACCUCCCUGGCUAGGAAGAUAAGCAUAAGAUAAAGAACAUAUCCAUGUUGUCUUGUGGGAUGCAUGCCACCAAGUAGUCAAACCACACAUUCUUAAUUAAUAUGGGACACAUGAUGACCAAGUAAUUUUGAAUAAAAUUAUAUAUUCAUAUAGUGUUUUACCUCGAACAAUAAGAGGUUUUGGAUAUGUGAUUAUAUGGUUUGUGUAUUAUCGUUUGGUUCAUGUUGUGCAAACUCUUUGCAAGUCAAGUGAUGUAAUAUUAGUGAGUUGAGAAAUAACAUGAAAUUAUGAGAGAGAGAGAUGAGAAAGAGAUAAAGAAUUACGUAAAGAGAGAAUGUUCCCGUUGAGUUUAUGACAAUAUUUAUAUAUGUAGCUUAGCACUCAGCAUUGUGGCCUCAUUUUAGUGGUUGGAUCCUCGCCAUGUAUGUAUCUAAAUUAUAACCUAGCCGUGAUGGACUAAUCUGAUAGGCUUAUGGGCUCGGUCACAUCCAAGAGAUACUUGGUUAUCCAUUCUAGAUCCAGGCGACCAGAUCAUCCAAUGCGAACAUUGACCACCAUAUAGGCUUGUGAUUGGUAUAUUGUACUAUCUAUAAUCAAUUGUACAUGAUUCAAAAUAUUACGUAUAUAAUCAACUAACUUAAAUAAGAUCCGGACGAUCAAUCUAAUCUGACAAAAUGGACGGUUAUCUCGGGGUUCGUCCUAACGAGCCUAUCACUACCCAUCGAUCAAAAUGAACCAAGAAUGAACGAGUGGGGAACUUAAACGUUCACGGGCAAGAGAAAAGGGAAGAGAGGGGGGACAAAGAGCAUCUCUAGAUCCAUGGGGAAAAUAUAUAUUUGGAUGAUGCCGUUGCACAAAUUGAUGCAGAAAGAGAAGUCAGUGAUCAGUAAGUAAAGGCCAUAACUUCCUCUGCUGUAUGCAAAAUUUGACUCUGAUUUUGGGUUUGUUUUGUGGCGGUGGCAGCAACUAAUACGGCGGGCGCUCGUGCAAACUCCAGCUGCGGGCUGCGGCAUCAUCAUCAUCAUCAUCUUCCUGCUAAUUGGUUGGUUGGUUUUAAUUUUACUGCUUAGCCCACAUCUCUCUGUCUGUCUUUUUCUGGGUGCGUGGGUGUCAGCGUCUCCCACGCAUCUCAACUCUCUCGUUGGUUACCUAGCUAGCUCCCUCCAGCCUGUGGUCAAAAGUCUUUCAUCUCCUCCCGUCUCCUCACUAGAAAUUGGUAAUAUCGAGUUCGAAUUUAGUACGUGUUGCGAAUAACCCAAGUAUCAUAUUGGUAAAGUAGGAGAAGUUUGAAUUGUCCAUCAAUUAAACUACUAUAAGGCUUUUUGGGAAGAAACUAAAAAAAAAUCGAUAUAAAUUUGGCUCAAAACGGACAAUAUUAUAUUAAAUUAUAAAGAUUGGUGGGUUGGCGAUCUAAAAAAUGAAUACUCAAAGACUAAUUGGAAGGCAGAGAGAUGGAUUGUAGUAGUUGGACCCAUGUGGUGGAAGAGACUCUCAAGGUGCUUACAGUCAACUGGAUGACGUGCGGUCAGGCAGUGGAUGCAGUUGGUGUUGUUAACAGUAGUCCGUUGGAGCAAAUGACACAAAUUGUAUGGUUAUCAAUUUGAGAGAAGGAUUGUUGGAAAAAAAUAACCCACAUACCACAUUAAUAAAACUAGGAGAAGUUUGUCUAAUUUAAAAGUGCCCACCAAUUAAACUAAUAUGAAGCCUUUUAUAAAAGAACCCAAAAUUAAAUUGUGCGGACUUGACUCAAAACGAACAACAUAUAUCAUAGUAGUCGGUGAGCUAUCCAUCUAACAAUACAUACUCUUUAACAUAUAUGCAAAGAUGCUUACUGGUUGUUGAGUGGUUGCUAUUGGGUUGAACGAUUUAAUCACGGGAUCUAGAUCACUAUUAAGAAAUUCUAGCAUUGCAUUGGACAAUCUAACAACGAAUAAAUUAAUUUUUUUUUUCAUGUUAGGUAAGCAGUUUCUUGAAGGAGACACAAAGACCGUCCUGUCCGAACUCUCCCGACAAUGUUCUUGUUCUACUGCCGGUGGCGCUAUUGCGGUAAAAAUCUUUACUUUUUCAAUAACGUGCCCGCGGUUGCAUGUGCGGGCGAUUCAUCGUGCCAGCAGCAGAGCUUCCCAUAAAGUGACACGUCAACCUCUUUCGUAUUUCCUAGCUAGAUGCGUGAAUAUCGAUCUCAUACGAUUUAUCAAAAACCCUCCAAUGUCUCAUGCGUAUUAUUUGUUCUUCUUUGGCGCUGCUCAUAUUGUUAAAUCAAUGAUCAGUCACCCUCCUCCACCUAAGUAAUCAUAAUCAGCCAGUCGUGAUAUUCCCUCCCUAUUUUGUCUCAUUCAAACCCCUUAAGUAUUGUUUGGUAAUUGCAUUAUUAAUUAUGGGCAUAAUUCCAUCACUUAAUUAUUAAUCAAAAUUAAUGUAUAAUAAAUUAACAAUCCACUUUCUCUGUGAUGUGAUGCACACACCUUAUGAGUUCGUUGGUGGAAUUAAUGGAAGAGGGGGGGCUCUGCUAAUCAUUAAGCUCUUUAGUGUUGCGUUUUGUAACAUCAAAUCAUUGACAAGUUCAUUGGUUAGGUAUUUGCUUUGGAUAUUUUAUUAAUUAGAACAUGUUACUCCUUCUUUGUAAGGGGUUUAAAGUUGUAAACUUGCAAAUUUUAAAUUAUUAGAAGGAACAAGCUAUUGAUGUAAGAUAUCAAAAUAAAACCAAAGGUGGUGUUUUUCGGGCUCUAACACACGGUGUGACAUAUAGAUUCGAGAUAAAUGUUGUAUGGAAAGUUGAUACAAGUUGUGGAUCAUAGACUUGGAAGCAAAUAUGUAGGUGCUAUGAAGUUUUUGCUAGAAAUUAACGGUAAAAACAUACUUUCAAACACGAAAAGUUGUGUCGUUUCUCCCUAACCAGCUUAUUUCUUUAAACCCUUUCGACGAAUAGAAAAUUGAAUCACACCUAAUUAACCGCGACAACGAGCUGGAAAGACCCGCGAGAACCGACCCAUAUUCUUGUACGGUUCCUUCUCCCAUUACAUUGUUUAAUGGCACUAGCUUUUCCAAAAUAAAGGUGAUCGUGAAAGGUCGUAUGUUGAAUAAUUACAAACUGUGUAUUAGGUAGAAGGGAGAGGGUUUGAAACGUACUUGCUUAAUUAAUUAAUUAAUUAAUUAAUUGAUAAUUAUGAUUAGGACCCAUAAUUAACGUAGACGAAGGUGGUUAGCCACCUAAAUUGUCCAUUUUAAUAUUCUCACUGCAAAUUAGUUGUAAGAAUCGUCAACGUUUGUAGUAAUGAUCGUCGACUGACCAAAAUUCCAACAUUUUUUAUUUAUUUUUUUACUGUGCAAUAUAUUAAUUACUACUUAUAAAAAAAAGUUACUUAUAAUGAUCCGUUAUUAGUUAGUUAACAAGGAUUGACUGGAGAUCUAAUUUUUGUGCCAUGUAUAUAUAUAAAAUUAAGGACGAGACACAUGUACAAACAAAUUAUUAUUUAAAUAAAUUGAUACUUUCCCCCCAAAUAUCANNNNNNNNNNNNNNNNNNNNNNNNNNNNNNNNNNNNNNNNNNNNNNNNNNNNNNNNNNNNNNNNNNNNNNNNNNNNNNNNNNNNNNNNNNNNNNNNNNNNNNNNNNNNNNNNNNNNNNNNNNNNNNNNNNNNNNNNNNNNNNNNNNNNNNNNNNNNNNNNNNNNNNNNNNNNNNNNNNNNNNNNNNNNNNNNNNNNNNNNNNNNNNNNNNNNNNNNNNNNNNNNNNNNNNNNNNNNNNNNNNNNNNNNNNNNNNNNNNNNNNNNNNNNNNNNNNNNAUUUAUAAAACAUUUUACAAUUUAAGAUUAUUGGUUGAAGUAUACCGUUCGUCAUUUGUUCCUGUUGGUCUAAGGUGGACAAUAAAAAGUGAUGGACGUGUGGUUGUUAGGUUCAAGAAUUAUCGUCUAUAUUUCAGUUUUGUGUUGUGAAAAUUUAUUGUUAGUAUAGUAAUGUAAAGUAGUGAGCUCGAGAAUAGUUUUCUUUAAACGUCUUAAAUUGUUUUCACUUCGCGUAACUUGGUUUGAGCUGAAGUAUGAACCCUAGUCAAAUGAAUGUGGAAGCUGUGAUCUUCCGGAGGUUUCCAUAUUUAUAUUGAGUUUGUAGAUUCUAACGAAUUAAUCUAUUUAAUCCAAAUCAACCUAAUUCUACACGAUCCAUGACCUAAAUUGACUACAAACAGAUAGCAUAUAACUCUACUAGCCUGUAAAUUGGUGAACCAUCAACUUGAGUGUUAUCGGAUAUGAUCUGCCUGUAAUCCGCCCAAUUCACGACUUGAAGAAUUCGCAAAUCAAUUAACUCGUGACCCGUAAACCGAUCAAUCCAACCCGCAAAACAUCUAAACCUACCCAUUUGAACAUCUCUAUAGUGUUAUGAAAGAACAUAUUCAAUUCAUAACCGUGCAUAUUUCCAAGCGAGUGAGCUAGAAUGAAUAACAUUAGUUAGCAAGGAGUAUUGCGAGAUAAAAAUAGUACCCAAAUCCGCUCGAAAGUUGAAAUUUAGCUUGAUUUUAUGUGAAUGGUUGAAAAUUUUGGAUUCUUUUAUGAAUUUAAAUUUAUACAUCAAUAAAAUAAAACAAAAAUAUAAUCAAUUAUAUAUUUAUAUAUAUUAGUCAAAGCAAAUAUCUUGGUUGAUGAGAUGAUGGAGUGUUGAUUGUAGGCCAAUAGAGUUCAUGGAAGGAAUGGAACUAAUAAACUUUUUUGGGCCACUUUGUUUUCUUGGAAAAAGGAUGGGAUUUUGCUUUUAUGGGCACCUUUUUUUGUUUAAUUUUUUCAAUUUUAUUUUUCAUGGAUAAUGCUUGAAAAAGUUGUAAGUUUUAAUGUUUUUCUGGACUAUUGUGAGUUGAAAAUGAGUGUCUUUAUCAUGAUUAUAAACACUGGAUGAGAAAUAUGAAAUAGUAUAUGGUAUAGGAUAUUUCGUGGAUGAUAUAAUUAAGAAUUUGAUGUAUGUAUGAUUGUUUUCACGUUGAUUUAUUUUACUCGUUUUUUUCGUCAACUUAUGAAUCCGAUUCGCAACGACAGAGUGUUGGCGAAUCUCCCUAUAGGCUUCACAUAUCAAUUCCAAUGCGCAAUGGAAAUUGAUCUGAGUUGCAAAUGUACUAUUUGGCCCCUCUCUGAAACUAUAUUAAGGCCAGUCAGGCAGUCACAAGGUACUAUUCCCGAGUGAUUGAAUUACACACACCAACCUCAAGCUGGAUUCCGAUAAGAUACGUCAAACAACAUAUCGAUCAAGCCUCACGCGGUUGCUUGACCCGUCUCCGGAUUAACAGAACCAUCCGAGUUAAGAGAAACUCACUCUGGAAGUGCCGGUUCCCAGAAGAUUUGAACAUCCGUUUGGGCAGGGCUAUUACGCCUAGCAGCUUGAUGUCGGAUAUGAUCGUCCUCAAUAACAUAUUCGCUGCGACAAUAGCUCGGAACAUUGAUCAUCUCGAGUCUCAUGCCGGAUGUUAAUAGACUGUAACGGAGCGACGGUUAAGUUUCCAAUUGGGCAUCAUUAAUUAUAGUAAUUAUGCUAGCGUGAAGGGAGACAAGAGGAUAAUGAUCACUCAUUGGUAAAGUGUAAAAAUUCACUAAUUUGAUAUAUUUUGCUCAGUAAAGCAAUAGUACCAAAAUCCAAAUUAAAUUAUUUGUAGCAUUAUAAAUCAAUUUAAAAUGCUAUAUCCUUUUUUAUUUGCCCCAAAAGGUUAUGUCUUUUUGUUCACAGAGUUGUCUGAUGAUCAUGUUUUGUCCGUUGAAAUUGUUAAAUCUCGUUUUUUUUUAAUUCAGUUUGAUUAUAAUUUAAUGGGACACUCAUUAGUAAUUUUUAUAAAAAAAUAUAAGGGGAAAAUGAUCCAUCUAGGUCAUUAAAAUAGAGGAAAAGUGACAACUAAGUAAGUUUUUAUUUUCUUGGUGAGGAUAAAUGGGUAUAAUAUAAUUACAACUGAAAUUAUUAUUAUAUAGUUUUUAUUUUUAAUUGGUUACNNNNNNNNNNNNNNNNNNNNNNNNNNNNNNNNNNNNNNNNNNNNNNNNNNNNNNNNNNNNUUCGUGAUCCAUACAUUAGUUUAGUUUCAUGGUACAGCUAAAGGUCACUCGUUUACUUAAUUAUAUUUGAUGGAAGUGAGAUGCGAUGUCGGUGUUUUAACCUUUGAUUACCACUUCUAGUUUGGUGACUGAAAUUAAAGGAAAUAAAUAGUGUGACGAAUUGUAUUUACGUAUUAUUAUGUGCGCAUUUCGAUAUUCGGUUAGACAUUGAAAUAAAGGAUUAAAACGAGACUAGACGAGAUAAUUUUUAACAUAAUUUACCAUCAGAGUGAUCAAGAGAAGGAGAGAAUUUUGCAUUAUGAUGAGGAAUAUGAAGAAAAAGCUAUAAAUUACCAUAGGAAUAUAUGGUUUAUGAAUAAUAAUCAUCGGGAUAAAAUAAUAUAAGAUAUCGUAGUCAUUAAGGCGCGAAUUAAAAUUGGUCAAACUGGUACUGACAAAUAAUCCAUAUUCAAAUAUAUGAGUGAACGUUCGUUCAUUAAUAGAAUCCAAAGCAUUAAAGAGAUUGACUUUUACACUUAUAUGUUACGAGAGUAAAUCAAACUUAAUUAACGAUAACCCUGAACCAUUUUUAUGUCUAACCUUGAUUCAUUACGAGAGUAAAUCAAAAUGAAUAUGACCAUCAUAUGGACCUCCAACCCUAGCCCAUUUUCUUGUCUAGCUAGCUAGUUACUACUACUCAAACCAUCUCAUCAAACAAUCACAGGCAUUUAUUGAAAUCAAAUAUGAAUCGAACCCCGCAAAUGGAAUAUGAGCAUACAACCUUAAAUCGAAUAUGUUUGUCUCAUUUUUCAUGUCCAAUUAGUUCGUCCUGCAAUUCAGAUAAUAUGAACAUAUCAAUCACGUCAAAAUUAUAUAAGUAUUUACUCAAAAUCAAACAAGAAUCCAACACCAAAGAAGAAACACACAAGCCAACUAAAUACUACUCUCAAAACAAGUCGGGUCAGAUCAAGCCGGAAACGAACCAACCCCGCAAAAGAAACAUGAGUAUAAAACCUUAAAUAAAAUAUGUCCAUCGUACAACUUUGUCUUAUUUUCACGUCCAACCAGUACGUCAUGCUACUACUCGGACCAUAUGACCAUACCAAUCAUGUCAAAACUAUAUACUACUAAGAACAAGUCGGGUUAGAUCAAGCCGGAAACGAAACCAACCCAAGCUAAAGCAAGGAGACUAGAGAGACAGGGGGAGAGGGACCCUCGUUUGGCCACAGCCCAUAAGCAAACAAGCACACAGUCUCUCUUGUACCCUCUGAAAUCUGAAUCUCCCACCUUGAUCCCCACCACCACUAGCUAGCACCACCACCACCACUCCAAUCCUUCAUCCAACACACCCCCAACCCUCAACCAAAACCAAAAAAAACCCACACCAACCCAUUAAAAAACUAGUCAAUUAAAAUAAAACCCCCCUUUACUCCUCCAUCUCUCUCUCUCUCUCUUCUCUCAAACUUCUUCUCUUCUAUCUUCUUCAUCUUCUUCUUCUACUUGAUCUCCCCCAAACUCCCACCAACACAACCUCUAAACUCUUUUUCUGAUACCCAUCCCACCCUUAAAGCAUGACCCAUAUGAUUCUUCACUAAUUCCCCAUCAACCCAUCUCCAAAGAUCAAAUCUUUACCUUUACUCUUCACCACCCCCCCUCCCCCUCUCCCCAACAGAGAUAAAGUUUGCCCCCCCUAAAUUGAUGGAUCCAGUUACGGCCCACGGCCACUCCCUCCCGCCGCCGCGCCACCCCAGACAUUUCCAGCUCCAACACACACUAUCCUCCCCGCCGCCGCUCCAGACACAAUUUCUCCUCCCCGCCGCCGCACCAGCAGCAGCAGCAUCACCAAUCUCAUCAUCAGCAGCAUCAGCAGCAAAAUUCGGAAGAUGAACAGAGUGGUAGCAGCAGCGGGUUAAAGCGUGAGCGUGACGACAACCACCACCACCACAACAACGACAUCAGCAAGGACCUGGCCGCCGCUUCUGGCGGAAGCGGCGGAGGAGGAGGAGAGAUUACUCGCCGCCCACGCGGUCGGCCAGCUGGAUCUAAAAACAAGCCGAAGCCACCGAUUAUAAUCACUAGAGACAGCGCUAACGCGCUUCGGACCCACUUGAUGGAGGUCGCCGACGGAUGCGACAUCGUUGAUUCCGUCGCCACCUUCGCCCGACGCCGCCAGCGCGGCGUCUGCAUCAUGAGCGGGACCGGGACGGUCACCAACGUCACCCUCCGUCAACCAGCUUCUCCCGGAGCCGUGGUCACCCUCCACGGCCGAUUCGAGAUCUUAUCCCUAGCGGGUUCCUUCCUCCCACCGCCAGCUCCUCCUGCUGCCACCGGACUGACGAUCUACCUCGCCGGAGGGCAAGGGCAAGUCGUAGGAGGAAGCGUGGUGGGCACGCUGACCGCUUCCGGUCCCGUAGUCAUCAUGGCGGCUUCUUUCAGCAAUGCGGCGUACGAGCGGCUGCCGUUGGAAGAGGAGGAGCCGCCACAGAUGGCAGCGGCCGGUCAAGGCGGGAUCGGCUCUCCGGGAGGAGGCGUGGGGUCCACCACCCCAAGUCAACAGCAGCAGCAGGUCAUGGGUGGUAGUGGAACCGGGUCGGGGGACCCGAAUGGAGCUCCGCUUUUCCACGGUUUGCCUCCCAACUUGCUGAAUUCCAUCCAAUUGCCCGCGGAUGCUUACUGGGGCGGCGGAAACGGCAGCGGCGGAGGCGGCGGUGGAGGACGUGCUCCUUACUGAAAUCAAAUCAAGUAAUUGGUUAUUAAUUAUUAGUCAACCAUUUUUCGAUUUCGCGCUUCUUCUUCUUCAAAUUUGAUGUUAGUUUAGUAGUAAGCUCUCUUCUUCUUCUUCUUCUUCUUCUUCUUCUUCUUUGUUUUUCUUUAAUCAUGGAGGAUGAUUAAUUAGUUUUUUUUUCUUCUCCUAAUUUGAAUCUUGUUGUUGUUGUUAAUGUUGUUGCUGGUUUUGUGUCUGGUUUUUGCUGUUGUUGUUCCUCUGCAUUUUGGUUCGUAUGUUGAGUGGAUCGAUCCAUGAUUGUUUUGUUGAUGGGUUUAGAGGGGUGGGGAGGAUUUUGUACAUGUCUUGUUUUUUCUUUUUGUUACCACGACUUUGGGUUAAAUUAAUUAGUGGUAAAUUUUCAUUAAAUUUUUACUGUUAUGUUGAAGUAUCUUUGAAGCAAAUGUAUGGUUUUUUCCCCCCAGCUAAUUUCUCCCAUCGACCACGAAAGCCAAUGAGAUUUGAUUUGAUUUGAUUGAUGGAUUAUGAUUAUUUCUUGGAUCAAUAUCCAGAGAUGAGAGGGAGACACCACAUUAUUAUUAUUAUGAGUAGUAUUAAUAGCUCUAGUUUAUGUGUGUGUUAAGCUUAAUACUUUUAGUUUAUCGUAACUAAGCAAUCCUUAUUGAACUUAGAAUCCUACUAGCUAGGCCUCAUGCACUUGACACAUGUAUAGCGCUAGAGUCAGUGUAAAAUCAACCCGGUUCGAUUGGUUCGAAAACCUUCUGUCUGUAUAAUGUGACACGAAACUAGGUAGCUAGUAAGAUCUUUUGUAUCUGUUUCUAAUAGGACACAAAACAAGUUAUAGUACAUAAGAUCUCGCAUAUGUAUAUAGAGUCGUACAACCAGCUUUGACCAGGUUCUAAUAUGGCGAGAAACGAGCUAACUACUAAUAUAUUCGAGUUGUUAAAAAAGAAUUCAAUAUUAUUUGAUGUGUAUCCUAACUAGGGUGUGUGGGCAUAGAAAAGGGGUGUUGGGGUAGUGGGACAUUGAAUGAAUGAAAUAAGGGUCAAAGGGGUUUGAACAAAAGCUGGCAAAGGGGGGGAAAGGGUGAGGGUUUCAAGGAAUAAGGAGAAGGUGGUGGUGGUGAGUGGUGACAUUAUAACCAAUUUACGAGGAGAAACAAAUGGAAGAUGAAGAAGAAGAAGAGAAAACAGUGAGGUAUGGGGUUGAAUGAAUUCUGGCUAUGUCUCUUUCUUCCUUAAUCUUCUUCUUCUUCUUCUUCUUCCUCUUGUGGGGUUGGUUGGUUGGUGGGUGUGACUGAUUCUGAACUUCUUACACACGUGCACUGACUCUGAACUUAGCUCCUUUUCGAGGCAAAACCCACGUACCACCCUCACUUACUUACUUACUUACUUACCCUUUUCCCCUCCAAGCUCCCAUAAUAUGACUUCCAAUUUUCUUUCUUUUUGGGAGGGGGCAGGUGAAGAAGCUGUACAUACAUAGCUUCUCUGUGACAGAUUGAGAUUCUAUCUCUCCCUGUAUUACUUCCAUAAAUGCCAAUGCUACAAAUCUUUCCCUUUGGAUAGAUAUCAAGCCUUGUUCUUGUCGGUCGGUUGUUAUAUAUAAGCUACAAGCCCUAUUUCUUUCCUAGUACAGUACAGUGUUGUGAAAUAGGGUGCUAUUGUGGUUCUACAAUCUAACAAGUGCGAGGCGAAAACACGGUACGCGUAGAGCGAUCGAAUUGAUAAGCAAAGGUAUCAAGUUCAAUCAUCGAUCGACUCUGCACGAAACUGUCCUAACCAAUGUCAAAACAUACAAUAACGAGAUAACCCGCAAUGCGAUAUUGGUUUUAAUUAACAACAUGGACGUAUAUAGUUGAUUAAUUAUACGUGUGUGUGUGUUUGUUGGACUCGAUAUCAAAAUCUAAGAUUACGCACGGAUGUUUAAGUCUAUGUAAUCACGACGUAAGAGGUAAAAUUGAAUCAAAUGUAUUCAAAAGAGUUACAAGUAGCAGAAAAAAGUGGGGGAUAGACAACAUUCAUUAAAAUGGUGAGAUUAGACUACAAUUUGCAGUUGAAUAAGUGAAACAGUAAAACCCUAAGAUAGCCAGAUGUUGUGUCCCUUUGGUCUAGUUUCUGCUCAGGCAAAUAGAAGAACUAUAUGCAUGCAUGCAUGCGGCUACAGUACCGCUCACGCUAGCCAGUCCACAGACUUGAUCAUAACUACUGUAUCUCAAUUCCCAUGCGUAUCCUUCUUAUACAGAUUGACAUUGAGAUUGGAAUUUUUUCGUCGAGUUAGACUGGUGGCCAGUGAGUGGUUCGAUUGGAGAAUCGGAUUGAAGGUUGAUAUGCUGGUCUUCUUAGGAGAUGAUUGGUAAGUGGUAGUAUGAGAAGGCAUUAAGGCGUAUAAGAGAGGAGUAGGAGAUAGAGAGAAGUACCCAUGUGUGGCCAGAGGUGUGUGAAUCUAAGACGGUUUAGCUUGGCGAAACGUCCGAACCUUAGGCAAUAUAUGAAAGUGAACAAUGUCUGUGUUUAAUGAGAGAGAUUCUCUUUCCUUAUACUGUAUAGUCUUUAGAGAUUUCAGGUCAGAUCAGGUUCGCCAUGUGUUGGCGGCUGAUUGAUGACCUGGUUGAGAUUAGAUCCAAGUCUUUGAUGAUGAAAAGUCGAGAUUGCUUUUAGGAUUUGCAGGUCUAGACUUGAGCUAAUUGCCCUAAGGCUACUGGUUGGGUUUCUACUGGACUUGACGAUUCUCUUGGUGUCUUGUGCCUAGCUUGGGACGGCGGUCAAGGACCCAUCAAUACGAAAAUGUGAUUGUACUACAAUAAUACUUAGACUUGGUUUGACAACGAAAAAGCUGGUUAGCUCCCAAAAUCUACCACUAACUGUUUUAUUAUUUGCUUCGAAAAUUUCUGAAGCCACUUCUUUAGAUAUAUGUACAUCUAAAUAUACAUAUACGAGGGAAUAAUAUUAUUACGAAAAAAUGAAAUAAAUAUAAUAUUAUUAUCUAUCUAUAUAAAAUAUGUUAAUUUCAAACUUAAUAUUUUCAAAUCGUCAACCCAUAAUAUCAGCAACUGCAUUACUCCAUGAAAAAAUCGAACCUUUUUCACGAACCUGAUGCUUGGGCAGAAAGGCGACUUAGGGAUAGCUUAGUGGCGGAUUUCGGGCUUAAAACCCAUAGCUACACCGUUUAUAUGGGCUUAAAGUCCAAUUAUAUAUCCAUGUCCUUAUAUGGCCCACGAGGUGUAAUAGGGCUACCAACGAGUCGUUGUUGGUGCAGUAGUUUCAGAUGCUAUAUUUAAAAUGGAGAAUCAACAUUUGAUUUUCCAUAACAACGUUGAGAAAAAAAUAAAACCUUAACUUCGAGAUUAUCUUCAACAUUUGGGCAGAUACUAAAGUUAACAAAAAAAGGUGUAAUAGGCUGCUAUUGCCAAAGUAUUGAAGAAUUCCUUAGUCAUUCUUAGGAGCAGCAACAAUGUACCCAGUCCACUUUCAAACUUUCAAGAUUCUCAUGCACACCAAAGCUUUGGCCCCAUAACCAUAUUUGAUUAUUGGGUUUGAUCUUGUCAAUCAAGAAACAGAAUUAGAUUCCAUCAUAUCAAACGUUCAGUCCAUCUAUAUAAACAUGGAUAACUCAAUCAUCUAAGGAUACACAAACAAACCAUCUGUUCCAACCCUAAACCUUAAACACAAAACCAAUGUCAUCUAGAUUGAAUCAUCAUCAUCAUCACCAGAAGCAGCGUCAGCAUAGCCGAGAAGCAGCAUCGUCCGAUGACUAUGGUUACUGCCACUAUCCACUGAAAAGACGAGAGAUAGUGGCAGCAGCUCCACCAGCGAUCGUCUGUGUUAGGCUUGGUGAUCAUAAGAUUUGUAGCGACAAUGUUGACACGGUAGCUGAGGAGUUCAUCAAAUGGAAGCACAGGAAGUUCGAAGCCAGCAAGACCAUGUCCGUUAACUACGGCUAGGAAAUCACUUGUACAAAAGCUUAUAAUAAAAUGAACAGUCUGGCAUAAUGUAACUUGUAGAAACAACUAACGUGCUAGUUGAGCAUGCUACACGAACCCGAAGAAAGAACUAACUCAAGUCACCACACAAUUCGGAGGGGGAUGCGGAAUGGUCAAACGAGAAAACUCAAAGGAAAGAAAUACCGUAUUAAUCGAUGGUUCGGAAACCAUCGACUUAUAACUGUAUAGAGGACGAUCUACAGACACACUUGUAAUCAUUGCGUAUUUGAAUUGGUGUCGUCAUCAUCAACCGUUGCUACAACAAGUUAAGAGAUUCCUUCUCUCGGUCUGGUCAGAGAUAUACAGUUCCGAUAACGGUUCGUGUUGUCAAUAUAUUGUCAAUUAAGCCUACUUGGACAGAAAUAGACCAAUGACAUGCUAGUUUAGCAAAGAAACGUACCGAGAAUAGACUAGUAUUAUCAGACGUAUUCGGAAGUUGAGCUACGGAUACUGUCUUCGGAUGACAUGUCCAUAAAAGACCGUCGAGAAUAAGAGUUUGAUGAGCUUGUUUCGCUAUGUCAGCUGUUCCGAAAGCUAAAUGAUCAGUUGCAAGUUGCAGAAGCUGUACUGCUAGAGGAGAAGAUUCACUUCCCACUUCACUCAAUUCAAAAGUUGGCGCCUUCCAAAACAUCAAAACAUGACUGACAUUAAUAAUCAAAUAGACAAAACUCUUAUUACAUACGGCCGACAGUACCUGCAAGUACCGAAGCGUUACGCUCUACCAAUCAAGGUUGUUUCAAUGUUUUGCAUACCUUUUCUAAGUCGUGAAAUAUCAAAUUGAAAACUAGGUGGCGGAAUCGAGCAGCGAAUGCUGCGAGACAAUUCCUCAACUCAAUAAACCACUCUGCUGUUAAACUGACGCAAGACAUGCGACAAAUAACUACACAUCGGAAGGCAUAACGCACAUCGGUAGCCCAAAGGUGUCGAUGGUUAGAGUUGCCAGAUUCGGAGCAUCAAUCUCAAACUGAAUUCCCCUACGAAACUGCGUGAAGGUCAACUCCCGGAGCAUGUCUGCCAAAAUCCUGAGCCCGUUAUCCCCUGAGACAAUAUUGAAGAAUCUCGUAUGGAGUCGGAGAGACACAAGAGAUGGCAACUUCAAAAUCAAAUCCUCAGAUUUCGCUGCGCCUAUGGCAACCCAACUGUCCAACCUCGACAAAUUUUACAUUGGGAGCUACAGUGAGCAAAUAAAAGCAGUUGUAGCCGCCCAAAUGAAGAGUCCGGAGGAGAGGGGGUACAGAGACAUCCAAGCUUGGGAAAUUAGAAACAUAGCUAUCCAAUCUAUAAUUAAUGCCCAUAAUAUAUUUCACACUAAAUUUCUCGAGACGAGGAUCAUUAGCCAGACAGUUUGAAGAACUCUCUCGACUGACCCGAACGUGGUCGAGACAGAGUUCCUGAAUAUUGUUCAGAUGAAAUCUCUGAGGAGAAUCCGCCGGCCGAACUACACUUGCAGCUCCAGCAUACAUGGAAGCUGGGGAGGCCAUCGCAGCCUGAUCAGUUUUUCGCGCUUGGGUCUGUUUGGACGGCUGCUGAGGUUAGUUCCGUUAUCUUCUCAUGUCCUUCUUUUUUCCUUCUCUGUUCUUCCCACCCAGAUCUACACUUAUGUUCUUCUCUCCGGCCUGUUUUGUUCACCAGGGUGUCCGCAUCCAAGGAGAUUCACCCAGGAACUUCGCAACUAUCAUUCUUAAACGAAUUGCCGUGGGUUCCUUCCACAAGAUUACGGGUUUCACCCUUUGUGCCCCACAGCUUUGACAAAAUUCGAGUUGCAACCUCUGCCCGAUUCGAUUACUAUUAGAAAGUUGAGUGUGAUUAAUCAUCCCUUCCAAAAACUUGUCUUUUCCUUCUGAUCAAACAUUAAUAAUUAGUUUAAUUGAAUCAAUAAAAUCAUUAGAAACUCUUCUCAAUUUGUUUAGUCUAGACCGUGUUAUUAAGUUUUAUGUAAACAUAUGACGAGAAAAAUUCUUAGACACAUACGACAUUUGUGUUGUUGAAAUAACUGUAAAGUUGUUUUGACGAUUAUAGCUGAUGACAAAAGAAGCCAAUUCCACAAACCAAACCGAUCGACUCCACGCUAAGAUAAACCCCAUUACACAGAUGCGAUAAACUUAACAGAAACAAACACUACUAGUACACUUCACGAUAUCCUUUUAUUCAGAAGCCUAACGGAUCAUAGAUGAAGGUUGGUCGUCUGAUCAUGUUGCGUUCCCAAACUAGUUGGACGGGAGAUCAUCGGCCUUGUCGUAGACAACGUAUUGAGGCUCCGACUGGAUCCCCUUGGCAAACUUGUGAUCAUCGGCCUUGUCGUACACAACGUAUUGAGGCUCGGACCGGAUCCCCUUGGCAAACUUGUGAUCAUCGGCCUUGUCGUACACAACGUAUUGAGGCUCUGACCGGAUCCCCUUGGAAAACUUGUGAUCAUCGGCCUUGGCAUGGACAACGUAUUGAACAAGCUCCGGGGACUCGAUUCCUUUGGCAAACUUAUCGGACGGUAGACCAUCAACUAACUGAUGAUGAGGUUGUGACGACGACUCAAUCCUUUUGGAUUUGUGAUGAUCAUCGGUAUCACAACCAACACCCUCGUGAACAGAGUCUGCAACAGGGACUAGAGAUUGGAUGGCUUUCGGCAUAGGCUGAUCAUUCGUCACAAUUCUCCAGUAAUCUCUGACAUCGUGGUGAACAUCAGAGUUUGCAACAGGGACUAGCGAUUCGAUCUCUUUCGGAAUAGGCUGAUCAUCCGUCACAAUCUCCCAGUAAUAUCCUGCUGGGUCUUUCCUUGCAUUGGCACAACCAGCUCCCAACUGCAUACAUGAAUGUCCAAUAAAUUGUUAUUUAAGAACAAAUGUACAUAAGCAAAUUAAACUUUGGUAGAAAUUGAAGUACUACGUACCAGUACGAGUAGGAAGAUAGUGAUCAAAGGCAAACGAGAUGGCGCCAUUUUUUUUCUUGAUGCUGUUGAGCAAUGGAAUUUCUUUCCUUGCAAAUGGAUCUACUUAUAGGCCUGCACUGAAUCAAUAUAGUUUCCUUUAAACUUUGUCUUAUUUGAUUUCGGUCACUAAGCUAUCAGUUUUUCACCCACCAGCCACGAAACUUUUCCUAGGCCCUAACCAACCACCCGGCCUCCAUAUGGUUCGGAUUUAUGGUUUGGGAUCAAAAUUAGGUUCAUUAUCCCAUGUUAGACAUAUAGUUAAAAUCACCUGACCUCGGAGGAGUCUCCGGUGACUGACUCACGAGUUUUUGAUGGUGGUAAUUAUUUCUUUUGUGAUUAGUUAUUUGCGUAACUAAAUAUCUUCUAGUAAUUGAUUGUUUUUUAGUAAUGAGGCGCAUUGCUUCCGUCGAACUCGAGAGAAUAUAAAAAAUUGUCCUGGUAUCGGGUCGUUGUCACGUAUAGAGCUUGUCGAAUUGCUAGGUACUCCUUGCUCGAAAGGUUAAAACUACCAGGGGGCAAUUUCUUAACAACCAGCCAUAAAUAAUGUGUUGCCGACACGUCGCAUUCAAAAUUAUUGCUCUACGGGCAGAGAAUCAUAAGUACAUCGCCCACGUGAAAAAGCUAGCUUGGUCACUUAGCUGAACUUGCAUGCAUGUACGAUAAAGGCGAAUCGUAUUGUUUUGUCUUGUUUCCGGAGAUGUGUUGUGGGUGUGUGCUCUAAGGUCGGAAUUGGGUCGGGUUUCAAUCAGGUUUAGUCUGAUUCAGUUCGAUCGAAUUGGAUUUUGGAGAAUCCAGAAGUUUCGAAUUCAAAAGGAAAAUAAUGAUCCGGUCGGGUUCGGGUGUAAUUAAGAAAUACAAAGAUUACGACUCUUCUGGUAAAGCUCGAGGCCCGAAUCCGACCCGGACCAUUAUGAAAAGUUCGAUCACAACUCUAGGAAAUGUCAUAGCUCCUAUCUCACCCGUUGAGAAUGAACUUAUAUUUCCUAAUUGCGAUUAUCUCGGUAUUAAUCAAUGUAAAUGUAAUAGAUAGAGGUAAUUAAGAGGGCAUAAUUAUCACCAUAUUAAAACCCAUUUCAUCACAUGGUUAAUACUUUCGAAAUGUAGGUGCCACCUACCUGCAGGUGCUACUCAAUUAUUGAGUGUGGUCUCAGCUAUAACUACGUACGUACGUACGGUAAUGGUACAAAAUUGAGAAGGACAUCGAUCAUUAUCAGGCUGGCAGUAGAGUCCUUAGAGGGUCCAAGUGAUAAACCUCGGAUAAAUAGGAAUAAAAAAGGAAUAACAACGGAAUAACAUAGAUGGUUACACAUGUUUUAUAUAGUUUUAAUAAUAAUAUGGCAAUUAUUUAUAAUGGUUACCAUAGUGAAACUUGAUUUUUAGCCAUUUCCAACAUUUAUGUCAAAUAUUAGCCAAUUUGAAAUUUUUUAAUUUUCAUGUAAAAUUGUCAAUUUCUACGGGCUAACACACGGAAAUUGAAAAUUUUCACGUAAGAAUUAAAAAAUUUCAAAUUUCCUAAUAUUUGACAUGUAUAUUAAAAAUGACUAAAAAUUCAAAUUUCAUCAUGUUAACACCUCCAAAUAAUAGCAAAAUCUAUUACGUACAAAACGGUAAUGGUAUAAAAUUGAGAAUGACAUUGAUCAUCUGGCUCACAGUAGAGUACUUAGAGGGUCCAAGUCCAACGAUGAUUCUUACUUAAAUUGAUCCUCUAGUGGUCCAACCCUAACUCCAUUAACUUGAGGUUGACAAGGGAUAUUUGAUCUAGAUAUACGUUACACAUGCUAAUAUGUUAUGUUUGGCAAAUGAAAAAUUUAACUGACGGUUUUUUUUAAUACUUUCACUGUCAAAUCUCCAUUAUUAUUUUAAUAUAAUGGAAUUAUAUUUGUUGAAGGUCUUUCGAAUGUUAUUACUAAACUUAAAUGUGUGAUUGGGGGUUUGGUUGUUUGAAUAUCUAACUAUGAUGAAGUUCUUGUUUGGUAUCCGCAGCCUCAAUCUCAGCUCGCAGAAGAAUAAUCAUCGGCGAAAUCGACCAUUGGUUCUCGUUCUUCGCCGAUCGUCAUUCGCUUGAAAUCAGCUCGUGACAACUUUCCUCCCAACCUCAACCAAACUUUUUUCGACUAACCUCGAUUCCAAUGAUACUAUACGUACGUAAGUCUUCACAUGCUCGAAAGGCUAAAUUAUAACGAAUAAGAAAAGGCAAAACAAAACUCAACGAAAAGAUGAGGGGAAAAUUACAUGAUUAUAAACCCACACUCCAAGAAGGUGAAGCAUUCAACCAAGCUUAAACUAAGAGAGAAGAAACAGAGAGAAUUAAUGGCUAAAGAAAGCUCCCUCAGCUUCUUCUUGGGUUUCCUCUUAUCCCUCUUUCUGGUUAUCAAUACUCAAUUCUCUCUGUUUUGAUGGGUUUUUUUUUUCUAGUUUAAACCUUGUUCAUAACUCUGGUUUUGUAACAACUCAUCUCUGCAAAUUUUCAGCUCCAUUUGGUGGUGGCGGUAGAUGGAGGAAGAGACUUGGGGAGUACUCAGCAUCAACAUCAUAAUGAUCAUAUGAUGAUGAUGAGCCCGGGCUCAAAAGUGCUCUUCAGGUUGAAAGAGCUGAAACAAGGAUCCGAAAUGGAAGUCUACUUCCCGAACAGAGACGAUCCGUCGAAAUCGCCGCAUUUCCUCGCGAGAGAAGAAGCAGACUCAAUACCAUUCUCGUCCAAAUACCUCCCUUACCUUCUCAAGCUCUUCUCCUACAAGCCGGGCACCACAGAGGCGUCUACCGUGGCAGAGGCCCUGUCGACCUGCGAGAACGAGCCGAUCGAGGGAGAGACCAAGUUCUGCGCCACUUCGUUGGAAUCCAUGCUAGAUUUCGCACAGGACACACUCGGCCCGCAGCAUCAGAUCAAGGUGCUCAGCACCACCCACUUGAUAAGAACUGAUGGUAUUAAUCUAUCACUCAAUUCUUCUUCUGUUUUUUGGUGGGGGUGGUCAUGGCGGUUAAUAACCAACCACAUUCGAGAGGGUUACAGUAACUGAAUGUCCAUUCCUUAACGUUUGCUGAUCGCUCCUCCGAAAAUUUGCCUACGCACAGGAGCCCAACCAGUGCAGAACUACACAAUUGUUGGUGAGCCAGAGGAAGUGGAGGCUACAAGGCAGGUGGCAUGUCACACAUUGGGAUACCCAUAUGCUAUUUUCUACUGCCAUAGCCAGGUGACUGAGAACAAGAACUUAGUUUUCAUGGUGUCGCUGGCGAGUGAUAAUGGAGACAAAGUUGAUGCUCUUGCAAUGUGUCACCUGGACACUUCUCAUUGGCCCAAAGGACAUAUCGCGUUUAAGGUGCUUGGUGUUAAGCCUGGAGAGACUGAAGUCUGCCAUUUCUUCCCUGAAGAUCAUCUGCUUUACGUUCCCAUUCACAACCAUUCUGAAUCAUCAGCAGCUUCUUAAUAUAUAUGUACACACCCCACUUCAGUACUUGCGUGUUAUUUGCUGCAGAAUGUUGGGUAGCAAGCUAUAAAAAUAAGUACGCGUCCAUCCAGAACCAGUUAGAGUCAUCAUCUUCUUCUUAAUCAAUAUGUACUAGCUACCACUUGAUCACUUGUGUGUUGUUAGUUGCUCCAUCUAAUUUGUGUCCAACUCUUUGUCUAAACGUAAAAGAGCUCAGUAGCGGUUUGUAAUGGGUAUUGAUUUCCUCUGCACUCCUGGAGAUCAAACGAUUUGUUUGUCAAACCAGCAGAUAAUCACUUAGGAGGGUCGAAGUAAUAGAUUACCUAGAAAACGUGUGAGCAACAUCAUUACCAUCUUUCUUUGUAAACACAACCGACAAACACAAAAUCCUCAACUUACACUCAACAAUAAUGAGCCCAAAUUCGGUUAUACUGUCACUCAUGAUUGUACUUUGACCUAUCUGACAAUCGAUUUUUUUUAAAGAGAAUUUCAUAAAUCAAUCAUCCAAAGUUCCAAACAAAAGAACCAAAACAUCCCGCCAAACAAGUUACAAAAAAAUAUAAUUAAAUUCAAAUUUAAUACCUUCACAUCUCCAACCAUUUAAUAUAAUUAAUUAUAUUAUUUCAAGUUAAUAAAGCCCAAGGGCUUUAUCGUUUAGUUAAUUGUAAAAAUGUAACUAUACAAGUUGGUUGAUAUUUGGGCUCUAAGCCCAUAUAAGCACCUAUGGGUUUUAGGUCCGAAGUCCACCAUGGAGCUAUUCCUAAGUGGCCUUUUCUCCCCAAUACUCAAAUACCAAUAAAAAAUAUUAUGACUUUUGCAGUAAAAAGAAAACAACGACAAAAAAUUGAAAUGAAAAGGAUGCAUGGCAUCCACAUAUAGAGAAGACCUCUCAGUGGAGGAUUCAGAGAGUGCUCCGAUUCAGUGUAUUUUCGAAUUUUGAAGUUACGUGUUAUGUAAUUUUUUUUAUAUUUUUUGUGUUGAAAUUUUUUUUAUAUACAACGUAGUGUAUUUGAACUUUUACAUAAUUUGGUCUAGUAUAUUGAAUCAUUCUAGACCCGCCCUACAAUAUCUGAUCUGUGACAAUUAUCUGUAGGAGCUGGGGAAUGAAUCAGUUAUUGCAGUUGGUGACUCAUUACGUUUCCUCAAUAAUAAAAGGUAAGAAGUGAAAGGUUUUAGUGAAUAUUUAUCGUUAUUUUUUUACGGUUUAUAUCAACUAUGGUGAAUAAUUUAGAACGAUAAAUUCAAGAGGAAUUAUUUAAAAAAGACCUUUCGCUUUCAACAAGCAAACUCAACUCGAUUUUUAAGUGCUUGACGGUCUUCAGAAGUUGAAUAUGAUCUACUUUUUCAUCUUUAAAGAUUCCCAUUGUAUUUACACAGUGACAAAAAAUUUAUGUGAAUUAAUAGGUNNNNNNNNNNNNNNNNNNNNNNNNNNNNNNNNNNNNNNNNNNNNNNNNNNNNNNNNNNNNNNNNNNNNNNNNNNNNNNNNNNNNNNNNNNNNNNNNNNNAGCCAAUUUAAAAUCUUUCAAGACUAAUCAUAACAUCAUUACCCUACAGUCUCAGAGAAAGUGUUUUUUAACUUCAUUUGAUAAUUAUUUGGAAGGAUUAACAUAAUGAAAUUUAAAUUUUUAGCCAUUUAAAAUAUGCAUGUCAAAUAUUAAUAAAUAUGAUGAGCUUCACUUACUACUUUGGUUGUGCUGUUGGUCAUUGCCAAGCCAAACUGAUAUAUAUACAUUUUCCUCUAUCCUUUUUAUUUUAUUUUUUGAAAUUUUAAAUCCAUAUUGGUAGAUCGGUUGAGGUUUCGCCCGAUAUAACGAAUAUUAAUCGUUGGGUUCGAAAUAAACAUAGAAGAGAUUCGAGAUAAUUAGUUGGCAGUAAAAGAAAACACUGAACAAGGAGAGGUGGAACUGUUAGCCACUGAAGAAAAAGGUAUCGCUCCUUGGGGUAACUCGUAGCUCGACAGCUAAAUCUGACGCAGAAAUCGAGCCUCCCCAAUGAGGGCCGGUAUCCUCCGCGGCCGGCGAACACAGUGGUUAGAAACAUGAUUAAAACAUAAAUAUGAAUAAAUAAACAUAAAUAAAAACUAUUAUAUUCAAAUGGGUCGGUUGGCAUGUUGCAAUCGUGAAGAAAUAUUAUCCAGAAUGAAUAUAAUAACCAUUGUUCGACCGUGCUGCUUAUCCGGUUUGUAAGAGCCAGACGUUGAUCCGGUUUGACUGUGAAAUUCGGCAAAUGCAGUGACCAAACAAUAUCUAACCUAGUCAUUGAACCGUGACGAUUUUUUGAUGUUUUUUUCUACUUGACCUGAGCUUGGUAACCUUGGCUGCGCGGCGCAACCCAGCCCUCAAAUGAAACGUGUUCACCUUUAUUUUGCAUGGGACAUGCAAGUGGAGUUGUGUGCAUCUCCGUACUGCAUUUUCCCCUUGAUUUGUGUUAAUAAGAAUAUUAUGGUUAUCCAGAUAUCCAACCCGGUCAAAAAGGAUACGAUUUAAGUUGAUCGGGUAUUUUAAAGGUAUGAAUAAAUUUGAAAAGUUAUUUUAUAUGUACGAGUAUCCACAGUGCCAAAGAGAGACAACUUGGAGGAGAAGACAAGCCAAUCUUUCACAUUAUUGCAUUCCCCAUUAUUAAUUAGUUUAUUAUUUUAGAUUGAUCCUAUCCCAGAUACAUUUUUUAAUUAUUUAAAAUGGUAUUUUAUCUAAGGAUGGUAACGAUCGUCCAAAAAUUAGGUACCCACCAAAACCCAUAAAAUUUUAAUGAAGAUAUUUGAACGGUGUGGAUCAACUUAAACCAUCCUUUCACAAAAGAUUGCAAUCGUAAAGGAAUCUUUCAAAUUAUUGGAAUGUUUUGGAUGGCUAGCUACCCCGACACUAAUUUCCAAUUUUGGAAAUGGUAUUAUUGCGACAUUAAUUUAAUUUUAUCUUCUAAAUUAUGGAUGUUUUUGGAUGGAUAGCUACCACCAUAUCCACACUAACACAUUCAUCUCAUUUAAUUAAUCACGUGAAUUAUCUUAAUAACUACAUCUAAAUUGCUAAUAAUUAUUUGUAACUAUCAUACCUAUAUUGUUUGACCUCGAAAGUGUAGUUUUCGGACACUAGGCUUCUCUUUUAACAUAGCUAAGCUAGCUUUGUCUCGGCAGCUUAGCACAUCUCUCAAGCUAUUGUCACAACGUGUACGUGGAUGUUCGUAUUGGAGAUCGACCUGGCUUCGGCUGCUGGAGUGAUUAUUAGUAGCACAAAGAUGCAUUUAAUUUUAUUUGCCACUAACGUUCUGGAGCAAAUGACAUAAACCAGAGUCUCAUUACAAGUGUAGUAGCCUGGGUAUUAAGCAGCCACAUGGUUGUGGAUCGGGACGUAAACGAGAUGAUCUUCAGGGAAGAAAUGGCAGACCUCAGUCUCCCCAGGCUUAACUCCAAGAACCUUAAACGAGACGUGUCCUUCGAACCACUGAGAAGUGUCCAUGUGACACAUUGCAAGAGCAUCAACUCUGUCUCCGUUGCCAGUGCUUGUCAAUGAAACCAUGAAAACUCUGUUCUCAGUCACCUGGCUAUGGCAAUAGAAAAUAGCAUAUGGGUAUGGCAUGGUGUGACAUGCCACCUGCCUUUUAGCCUUCACCUCCUCUGGCUCACCAACAAUUGUGUAGUUCUGCACAAGUUGGGCUCCUGUAGGAAAAUUUUCGGAGGAGUGAUCAGCAAACAUUAAGGAAUGGACAUUCAAUUACGGUUGAUUAGUUAAUCGACAACUUCUGGGUCAUUUUCGUAAGAUCAACAAACAAACAAACGUUAGGGGUGGGCAUUCAGUUACGGUCAACAGUUAGAAAUGAGUAAUCAAAAAUUUCGAUUCUGUAACCAAAAAUAUAAUUUAGAUUGGUCCAUCGGAUUUUUUUUCAAAGGAGGUCUGAGUCGUAGGAGAAAUUAAUCGGAAAACAUUUUAGUGACCUGCGAUAAUGGUCCGGUCACCGAAGAUGGUUGGGUUAUACUUAUAGUCCAAUUAUUUAAAUACCACAUAAUCAUAUUGACCCUGAUUAAUCUAGAUCUUUAGAUUAUAUAAGUGUUCAAGGGCCAGCCAGUCAACCACUCAAAUCUAUCUAGGAACGGUGCCAAUAAAAAUGUGAUUUUUGGCACCGGAAUCGGAUUCGGUUUAAGGCUUUGAUAUUUUUUUAACCGGAACGAUAUUUUAAUUUAAUUUCUUCAUAUUUAUAUCAAUCUUAACCAAAAUCGAUAUUAACCAGCCUACUUUGAUUAAUUGAUUAAUCGGCCAUUAUCAUAUCGGCCAGUCAAUCAGUUAAUCAACAAACAAUAAUUAAUUAACCGAACAUCACUAUGUGAUCAAUUAUUAACCGCGCAGACCACUCCCACCAAACGUGAAACACAAGAAAGAAGAAUUAGGUGAUCGAUGAAUACCAUCAGAUUCAAGGGCUGCUGCAGUUCUUAUCAAGUGGGUGGUGCUCAGGACCUUGAGCUGAUGCUGCGGGCCGAGUGUCUGUUGUGCGAAAUCGAGCAUCGAUUCCAAGGAAGUGGCGCAGAACUUGGUCUCUCCCUCGAUCGAGCUGCUCUCGCAGCUCGACAGUGCCUCCACCACGGCAGAGGCCUCUGUGGAGCCCGGCUUGUAGGAGAAGAGAUUGAGAAGGUAAGGGAGGUGUUGGGAGGAGAAGGGGAUCGAAUCUGCUUCUUCUCUGGCGAGGAAAUGCGGGGAUUUCGAUUGGUCUUCUUUGUUUGGGAAGUAGAUUUCCAUUUGGGAUCCUUGUUUCAGGUCUUUCAACCUGAAGAACACUUUUGAGCCUGGGCUCAUCAUCAUAUGAUGCUGAUGCUGAUGCUGAGGAACAUUGUUUGAUGCUAAGUCUCUUCCUCCAUCUACUGCCACCACCAAAUGGAGCUGAAAAUCACACCAUGAAUUAUAUAUUGCAAAAGCAAAGUUGAGUAACUUUUAAUGAAGAGAUUUGAUUGUUGAUUACCACAAGGAGGGAGAAGAGUAGACCCAAGACCUUGAGGGAGGUUUCUUUACCCAUCAUGCUUCAGAAAUUUCACAGGAGAUAUGACAAAUAAUUGACAACUACCUUUUGUAGCAGCUAGCGAUAGCCGAUGAGGAAAACAUAAAAAAAUAGUCUCCACUAUGUAUUUUAGAGCAAAACGAUACGUUAUUUGAGAAGUUGGUAUUUUAUAAGGGGCAAAAAGUUUUUGGUGGGAGAAUUAUAUUGUUUGGUUAAUGAGUUAUUUAAUGUGAUAUUUGAUAACGGAAAUAAUAUAUUCUCAACAUAUCUUGAGGGUAAAAUACCACGGCCCGAAUGCCACAUAUUUUGUUUUGGUUAUAAAACGAGUUAGGUUUAUUACGAGGUAUUUGAAAUACCAUGAAAGUGAGUUAAUUUAAAAUACCAUUGUCCGAAAUAUCACAUAUUUUACUGAUCGUUUAGACAAGUUAUUUCUCAUAUGUGGUAUUUUUUUAACAAAAUGAUGUGCUAUUUGAAAAUGUAAUAUUUAUAAGGUAGUUUAAACUUAUGAUUGUGGUGUAGAAAUUACCUUAUUUGGUUAACUCAAAACAAUAAAUUAUUAUAUUAUUUAUUAUUUGAUAAAAAACAGUGGAUGAAGGUAGGGUUCUCUCCGAGUUUUUCGGAGCUCCAUGGCGACUGCUGCGUCGCCAAUCGUUGACCCUGGUUCGGCCAUUCCGUCUCGGCCACCGGAUCGGAGCCCUUCUGGCUCACCGGGCGAAGCCCCUCAGAAGCUGAAGCCCUCGGAGAACGAUUCUUUCUCUGGAGCGGGUGCUAUGGACCUCGGACUCCCGACGAUGGAAGGAACCCCCGCGGAAACUCACUGUGCUAAGAAGCUGUCCUACAGGGAUAGCCGUACGGGAGCUGAUUCGUCUCCUCAGUAUUGAUGUUACUCCGGAAUUCAGAGCUGAAGCUGAGGAUGCCUCAGACCCCCUCGAUGACGACGAGGAGAUGGACCCCGAUUGCCCUGUCAUACCUUGCAUGCGUCCUCCAACUGCCCACAGGCUUGUUCUUAUAUUCUUUAUUCCUUUUGAUCUUCAGCUGGAAUUAUUGAUAACAUGUCCGAUUUCGCUAAGGUGGUCAUCGUACUGGCCGCUUUGCCAAGUCUCAGUACCCAAGACAAAUACAGACUAGAUAGAUUAUGAGAUAUAAUUAAAAGCUGACGACCAUUUGGAUAGAAGAUCUCGACCAAGCCGACCACUGCUUUUGGAGCUGGUAAACACCAGACGCGGAGGAAAUUAGCAAAUCGAGCAAUUAGGUUCCUGUUUACCUGAACGGGGCAAUUUGAAUCAGUUGUUCUGUCAUAACCUCUCAUGAAUGAAGGGAGAUACAUACACUCAAUAGCUGUAACAGUACCAAAUGCUUGAAUCUAGCAACAUCAGCAAGACAUACAAUAGCUGUAACAGUACCAAAUGCUUGAGUUCCUAUGUGCCUUUCACAAUCACUUGUGCAACUUCUUUCUCAUGUAAUUCGAGAAGCAAGCUGAGAAGAAAACGUGGAGAUACAAAUCACAAUAUUUAACUCUCAGUUUGUUCACCUUUGGUACGCUGGCACCUAAGUUAUAUGCUUCCCUUCGUCUGUCUGUGGGGACAGCACCUCCUGAUUGGUUUAUUAAUGAUGUUCAAGUUUUGUGCCUUUCGGCACAGCAUUAAUAAAAUUACGGAUAAUAGUCCAUUUACUGUAAAUUACGAAUUGUAUAUAACAUUUUAGGAGGACUACUACUCAUAACAGGUAAAACACGGUCCUACAAACGUGUAGCUAAUGUAUAUACAUUCAUGCUUCUAGUCAUUCAAAAAACAAACACAAAAUCCUGAACAUAAGCUUUCAACCAAAGAACUCGAAUAAUUAAAAAAAAAAACAAAAAACAACAAUUUAUGAAUAGAAACCCUCGAACGCCACCACAUUUUCCUUUUCGUUCAGUCAUAGUUUAUCCAGUUCUUAUUCCAUCACAUAAUUCUCUCAUUUCGUCAUUUCUUCAUCAAAUUUGCAACCGAAAGAAGGAAGCAAAUCCCUUAACCAUCACCGUUAUAAACUCUAACGUAUAAAAAAAAACUCUUAAAAGAGGUUUGUGUGCAUCUCCGUGCUGCAUUAAUGGGUGAAUUCCCUGUAUUUUUUUCCAUGAUUUGUUUUAAUAAGAAAAUUACAUUUUGGAAUGGCGUCAAGGAUGGCAAUCAUAGUUUAUGGUUAUCCAGGGAAUUCGACCCGAUUAGAAAGGAUACUAUUCAAGUUGACCGAGUAUUUUUAACGUACGAGUAAAUUUGAAAAAACUAUUUUAUAUUUUCGGAGACGAAUAAGAUAUGGAUGAAGUAUCCGAACUGAACAAGAACGGGAUAGUUAGUUUAUCAAAAGAGAGACAACUUGGAGGAGAGUACAAGCUUGAGCCUCUCAAGGGCCAAUCAAAUCAAAUUAUUUCUUUCUCCAUUAUUAGUUUAUUAUUUUAGAUUGAUCUGAUUUUCUGACGAGACGUAUCAGCAAUUAUGCAUUAGAUAUAUAUAUAUAUUUUAAUUAUUUAAAAUGGUAUUUUAUCAAAGGACAUUUGAACGGUGUGGAUCAACUUCAACCGCACAAGACUCUUUCAAAUUAUUGGAAUGGUAUUAUUGCUUUCCCCGACAUUAAUUUAAUUUAUCUUCUAAAUUACGGAUGUUUUGGAUGGCUGCAGAUUGAUUAAUUCAAUAAUAACAAAAAUAAAAAGAAUUUAUGUAUGUAUAUAUAUGGAAAGUGUUUCGGUUACCUGGAUAAUUAAUUUAAAAAUUAAAUUGAUAUUGAAAAUUUGGUAUGAUCGGGUCGCCGGCCAUGUCAUUAAGAAAUCAGGCGUGUGUUAUUGUUGUGUUACCAGUCGUCGGAGAAUGAGUUAAGCUUAGACCUCCUCCUCCGUCGAGGCUUCAUCAGCAGCAGUAAUCAAAUAAUUGAAAUAGGUGUGACGGUGAUGAAUAGUAAUAAAUAGUAAUGAAAAUUAGGUGAAUUUUUUUAUAAUAGCGAAAGUUUUAGUGCGCUUACUUUUUUAUAAACGUUCAUUUUUAAGUGAUCAAUCUCAACUGUUAAAAAUAAAUAUAAUUUUAAAACUUAAUUAAAUAUAUCCAAUAAAAACUCAUGUGGUACCCAUCAAUGUCUGAGCUGUCACAUCCGGUGGGCGCUGACUGUCAUAACUCGUAAGUUCAUUGCCGCGUUAGAUUUAAUUUGAAGCUCGAAGGAUGGCGCAACGUACGUUGGUCAAGACGUUUGCUAAAGCAACUUCGGACAAAAACGAUAUACAACGAUUGCCCCGCUUCCGUCCCUCGAUGUUGACCACAAAUAACCUUCAACCGGCGGCGGAUACAAAUUUCCACCGUCAUAUUAUGCCCACUAUACUACUCGCCUACUUUAAUUUCCACCGUCAUAUUUUCCGCAGCAUAAUAGGAGUAGUAAUAAUAAGAAUUACAAGCAUAUAUCAAAGCCUUGACAUGGUAGUGGUGCUGAGCAUUUGAACCAAAGCAAGACGUUUUUCAUCAUCAACCAACAUACUAUACAAAACAACAUCCCUAUCUUUACCUCUGUGAAACAUGAACUUCCUCAACACACCUUCCCUUUGAAACCCAAUCCUUUCCAAAGUCUUAGGCACCCCUUUGUUCUCCACAUCUCCAUACGCCUCUAGCCUCACCAUCUCCGGUAUAGCUCGAAACGCGUCCACCAUAGCAAUCUCCGCAGCUCUAGUGCCAACCCCCUUUGCCCAGUACUCGGGCGUCAGUAGCCCUCCGAAGUUCCCCUUCCUCCACGAUCCGGGGUUUGUAGGUGUGAUGAUCAUCAUCCCGAUGGACCGGCCGUCUAUGCACACCGACCGGCAGUAUCGGUGUGGGAUGCAGAAAUGCUGUAUGUAGGACUCCACAUCUUGCUUUGACUUGAACAUGCCCUCCUUCCACGGCACCGGGGUGUAACGUGACAUCUCUGGAUUGGUCACGUAGCUCCACAUGUCGUCGGCGUCUGAUAAUCUGAACGGCCGAACGGUUAUCCUUGAGGAAAUGUUGUUGUGGCUGUUCUUCUUGGCCAUUAUUGAAGGGAACAGUUGUUCUCCAGAACAGAUUUUUCUUGGUAGAAUACGGCACCAAAGUACACUUAAAUGUUAGCUUUUAUAGGCAGAAAAGAUAAUGAGUCAUCGAACUGCAACAAUUAAUUAUUUCCACUUGUUAAUUACGAAAUUCUACUUUAUUGCAAUGUGAUUUGUUAUAUUAAUCUUGAAGGCAUUGAUUGAUAUCUUAAUUUUUUUUUGAAAAUAAAUCCAUGAUAUCAUUCCUCAAAAAUGAUCGUGAACAAACGUACAAAGUGCCUAUCGGAGACAAACGUACAAAGUGCCUAUCGGAGGUAUAGAUUUCACAAGCGAGCUGUAUGGAACGCUAGUUUUUGCGCACGCGGCAACCUCGUUCUUUUCUUACCGGCAACGGACAACAGUAAAGGGAAACAAAUCAUAAUGUAAAGUCAGCGAAAACGACAGAUUAAAAUCUAACUAAUGAAUGAAAUAUCCGAUUCUUAUUUAAAUCACUACUGGGCUAGACAACUAAUGAUUCCGACCCUGACGGCUACUCCUGGUUGACGAGAGCCGUCCAUUGUCCCGGACUAAGUUUCUGUCGCAAUUUCGGUGAUGCAGCAGUGGAGGCGCCGGUUGUUGGGGUUAUCUCGAUCGCCGGUAGCAUCGCCUAUGGAUCUAGUGGCCAAGCCCCUGAGCCGCGAAGUUGAAUAGGCGGGUCUCAUAUGAUCCAACUUGAGUUAGCGACCGAGAUCAGGUGAGAGGGAUAAUGAAGUGAUGGUAGCGGAGGUCGCAUGAUGAUGAACGCAUUGUGGCGGCUAGGGUUAGGUUUAUAUCUCUCUAAGAGAGUGCAAUUUUCCUUCCAAUAAAGAGCAAUUAGGCAAAAUUAAAAGAAGAUCCAAGAUGUAAUCCAAAAAAAGAAAAAUAUCGAAGAAGCUAAAGAUGUCUACGAACGGCUAGAUUUUAAUUAAUUACGAAAUUUUAUUUAAAUUUUCUUGCGAGUAUUGAACACAAAGAGUUAAUUAAAAGAUAAAUUGUUCCGAAUUCCUGAUGCUAGGGUUUUCUCCCUUUUUUCGGAUCGCCCCCGCCGUCUAUAGGCGUUCCUUCCUUCGCCUCCUUCAUCAUCAUCAGCUCUCAGCCUUAGGGUUUCUUCACCGCCACCACACCACCACCACCACCAUCAUCAUCAUCCAUUCAAAAACAUCAUCAGCACCGCCACUCUCCAUAUCUCUCGCUUCACCGCCAACCACAACUUACAGCCGACUUCGCCAACACCUCCGCCACUGCCGCUAUCUCUUCCAUCCCAAAUCCAUAAAUCACUCAUCCGUGGAAAUCACCAUUCCCCACAAAUCGACGAGCCAAUCCGGUCAGAUCAAGCAGAGGGCCAUCGAAACGCGCACAAGAUCGACACCGAUGAGGCAAAGCACGCCGUGUAUAAACGCUUGUGGGUUAUAUCUCCCGAAUUACUACUUUAUGUUAUAUAAAUGCUCUUUUUUUUAAUCCGUUUUGAAAUACACGUACAUCUCGUGUUAAUUAAAAGAAAUAUCGUUUGUCAUAUUGCAAUCAAGAUUGUGGGACAUUAAUACUG
rnacentral:lncRNA from 1 species